AUGAAAUCCUUUUAUUUUUCUUCCACACAAUUUUUUUUACCUUUUGUUUAUGAUGCACUCUCCUUUCAAAAGUUAUAUAAACAACCUAAUCUAUUUAGUUACCGUUUCUUUAUUUUGAAGCUUAGACUUACGUGUAUAACAUGGACCGACACCCCCUUCCUCAUUGUAGUUAUUGUUGUCUUUAUAUUAAGUUAUAUAAACAACCUAAUAUAA